rnacentral:rRNA from 1 species
AACGCGAAGAACCUUACCUGGGUUUGACAUGCUAGGAUUAUCUCGGUGAAAGCCGAGUAGGCCCCGCAAGGGGUACAACUAGUACAGGUGCUGCAUGGCUGUCGUCAGCUCGUGUCGUGAGAUGUCGGGUUAAGUCCCUUAACGAGCGAAACCUUUACCCUUAGUUACCAGCGGGUUAUGCCGGGGACUCUAAGGGGACUGCCGGUGUCAAACCGGAGGAAGGUGGAGAUGACGUCAAGUCCUCAUGGCCUUUAUGCCCAGGGCUACACACGUGCUACAAUGGGAUGCACAAAGCGAACCUAAACUGCAAAGUCAUGGAAAUCGCAGAAAUCAUCCCCCAGUCCAGAUUGGAGGCUGCAACUCGCCUCCAUGAAGUUGGAAUCGCUAGUAAUCGCGGAUCAGCUACGCCGCGGUGAAUGUGUUCCCGGGCCUUGUACACACCGCUGUA